UACGUAGGGCGCAAGCGUUGUCCGGAAUUAUUGGGCGUAAAGAGCUCGUAGGCGGCCUGUUGCGUCCGCUGUGAAAACCCGGGGCUUAACCCCGGGCUUGCAGUGGAUACGGGCAGGCUGGAGGCAGGCAGGGGAGAACGGAAUUCCCGGUGUAGCGGUGAAAUGCGCAGAUAUCGGGAGGAACACCGGUGGCGAAGGCGGUUCUCUGGACCUGUACUGACGCUGAGGAGCGAAAGCGUGGGGAGCGAACAGG
rnacentral:rRNA from 1 species